AGUGAACGCUGGCGGUAGGCCUAACACAUGCAAGUCGAACGGCAGCACAGUAAGAGCUAGCUCUUACGGGUGGCGAGUGGCGGACGGGUGAGGAAUACAUCGGAAUCUACUUUUUCGUGGGGGAUAACGUAGGGAAACUUACGCUAAUACCGCAUACGACCUACGGGUGAAAGCAGGGGAUCUUCGGACCUUGCGCGAUUGAAUGAGCCGAUGUCGGAUUAGCUAGUUGGCGGGGUAAAGGCCCACCAAGGCGACGAUCCGUAGCUGGUCUGAGAGGAUGAUCAGCCACACUGGAACUGAGACACGGUCCAGACUCCUACGGGAGGCAGCAGUGGGGAAUAUUGGACAAUGGGCGCAAGCCUGAUCCAGCCAUACCGCGUGAGUGAAGAAGGCCUUCGGGUUGUAAAGCCCUUUUGUUGGGAAAGAAAGGCAGCAGGUUAAUACCCCGCUGUUCUGACGGUACCCAAAGAAUAAGCACCGGCUAACUUCGUG
rnacentral:rRNA from 1 species